rnacentral:rRNA from 1 species
UACGUAUGGUGCAAGCGUUAUCCGGAUUUACUGGGUGUAAAGGGAGCGCAGGCGGCGCGUUAAGCCUGGUGUGAAAGCCCGCGGCCCAACCGCGGGACUGCAUUGGGAACUGGCGCGCUGGAGUGCCGGAGGGGUAGGCGGAAUUCCUAGUGUAGCGGUGAAAUGCGUAGAUGUUAGGAGGAACACCAGUGGCGAAGGCGGCCUACUGGACGGUGACUGACGCUGAGGCUCGAAAGCGUGGGGAGCAAACAGG